rnacentral:tRNA from 1 species
GGGCCAUUUGCUUAGCUUGGUUAACAAGGUUUAGGUGCUUGGUCAACAAGCGCAGGUCUUAUAAACCUGAGUAAACAUUGUAUCUCUCAAUGUUUAAGGAAAUCCGGGGUUCAAAUCCCCGAUGGCCCA